UACGAAGGGGGCUAGCGUUGCUCGGAAUUACUGGGUGUAAAGCGCACGUAGGCGGUCUUUUAAGUCGGGGGUGAAAUCCUGGAGCUCAACUCCAGAACUGCCUUCGAUACUGGAAGACUUGAGUCCGGGAGAGGUGAGUGGAACUGCGAGUGUAGAGGUGAAAUUCGUAGAUAUUCGCAAGAACACCAGUGGCGAAGGCGGCUCACUGGCCCGGUACUGACGCUGAGGUGCGAAAGCGUGGGGAGCAAACAGGG
rnacentral:rRNA from 1 species